GACGAACGCUGGCGGCGUGCCUAAUACAUGCAAGUCGAACGCAGUGGGGACGGGUGCGUAACACGUGGGUAACCUCCCAUCAGAGGGGAUAACACUUGGCAACAGGUGCUAAACCGCUACUGAUGGAUGGUCCCGCGGUGCAUUAGCUAGUUGGGGAGGUAACGGCUCACCAGGGCCACGAUGCCUAGCCGACCUGAGAGGUUGAUCGGCCAAACUGGGACUGAGACACGGUCCAGACUCCUACGGGAGGCAGCAGUAGGGAAUCUUGGGCAAUGGACGAAAGUCUGAUCGAGCAACGCCGCGUGAGUGAAGAAGGUUGUCGGAUCGUAAAACUCUUUUGUUAGAGAAGCGGUAUCUAACCAGAAAGCAACGGCUAACUACGUGCCAGCAGCCGCGGUAAUUC
rnacentral:rRNA from 1 species